GCGGGCGUGGCGGAAUGGUAGACGCAUGAGACUUAAAAUCUCUGGAGCCUAGGCUCGUGCCGGUUCGAGUCCGGUCGCCCGCACCA
rnacentral:tRNA from 2 species